rnacentral:rRNA from 1 species
GGCUUACCAAGGCGACGAUCAGUAGCCGACCUGAGAGGGUGAUCGGCCACAUUGGAACUGAGACACGGUCCAAACUCCUACGGGAGGCAGCAGUGGGGAAUAUUGCACAAUGGGCGAAAGCCUGAUGCAGCAACGCCGCGUGAGUGAUGAAGGCCUUCGGGUCGUAAAACUCUGUCCUCAAGGAAGAUAAUGACGGUACUUGAGGAGGAAGCCCCGGCUAACUACGUGCCAGCAGCCGCGGUAAUACGUAGGGGGCUAGCGUUAUCCGGAUUUACUGGGCGUAAAGGGUGCGUAGGCGGUCUUUCAAGUCAGGAGUGAAAGGCUACGGCUCAACCGUAGUAAGCUCUUGAAACUGGGAGACUUGAGUGCAGGAGAGGAGAGUGGAAUUCCUAGUGUAGCGGUGAAAUGCGUAGAUAUUAGGAGGAACACCAGUUGCGAAGGCGGCUCUCUGGACUGUAACUGACGCUGAGGCACGAAAGCGUGGGGAGCAAACAGGAUUAGAUACCCUGGUAGUCCACGCUGUAAACGAUGAGUACUAGGUGUCGGGGGUUACCCCCCUCGGUGCCGCAGCUAACGCAUUAAGUACUCCGCCUG